CAGCCGCCGCGGUAAUACGUAGGGUGCGAGCGUUAAUCGGAAUUACUGGGCGUAAAGCGUGCGCAGGCGGUUCGUUAAGACAGAUGUGAAAUCCCCGGGCUUAACCUGGGAACUGCAUUUGAUACUGUUUGGCUUGAGUUCGGGAGAGGUGAGUGGAAUUCCUGGUGUAGCGGUGAAAUUCGUAGAUAUUCGGAAGAACACCAGUGGCGAAGGCGGCCCGUUGGACAUGUAUUGACGCUGAGGUGCGAAAGCGUGGGGAGCAAACAGGAUUAGAUACCCCUGUAGUCCCUGUCUCUUAUAC
rnacentral:rRNA from 1 species